GUUUUUCCCUAUUUGUGGAAGGCUGUCAGUCUUCUGUUUGCCUUAGCUGUCAAUGCCCAGUGAGAAGCACCUAUCUCUAUUUUCUCUGGAAGAGGAGUCCAAUAUGUGUCACUGAGUCAGAGAAGCUCAUGUCUGAGCAAUGACAGCCAUACUAAGAGUCCUGACUUCAGUUCAGCAGAUAAGACUUGAGACUGUGAAAGCAAACAGAGGAGAGAGUCGGAGAGGAGGGACGGACGGUAAAAUCAAACGGAGAUGGAAAGAAGAGGAGAAAACAGAAUGGAGAAAGGACCGCUGUAAAGCCCACGGUGAAACAUGCCUCUUUAUAGUCAGAGCUAUUUCCACAGCAAUGCAGUGCUUCGGUACUACAAACCAGCAGCUAGUUUUUGGACAGCUUGACUUGGAUUGAUUGAUUAUAAUGGCUUUAGUCAAAUGUUGUCUCAGCUCCUUCGUUUUCCAUUCACUUAAUUAACUAAGCAACCAGUAAGGCAUGGUGGAUGGACUGAUUGUUGUUCAUGGUUUCCGUUAUAUGGAAAUAUCCCCUAACACUUAAAGCGAGGCACUUGUUAUGCUUAAGUCUACAAAGCAUUUUGGAAAAAACAACAACAUAAAAAACCAACGAACAGAGAAACACUAGAGAGAUGACAACUGAAGAGAUAACACAAAGAGUUAAAGCAAAGGAACAUGUUUCAUUAAGACCCUUAGUGCAUUGUGUGAGAAGCAGAGCAUAAAAAAAUAAAAGCCAGUUCAUUUAAAUAAUCUAAAAUAUUUUUUUUUUUUUUUUGCCAGUGAGAGGGUUCCCAUUUUAAACAAGUUAGUGCAAAAGAAAAAAAAAGAAAAAAAUUGUCACAAACCAAAACCAAUUCACUUGCAGUUUGUUCACUACAUCACAGCAUGGGGGAUUGGAGAGAUUGCAUUGAAUGGAAUGUAACCAAGAUCCACAGCACCACAUGAAAGAGAAAAAGAGACAUAGAGAGAGACAGGGAGAGAGAGAGAGAAAGAGAGAGAACGGGCUCAGUAGCUCAGCCUUGGUCAGUAAACAUCGCACAGCCAGCUUGUGGAGAUCAAACAGCAGAACUUUUUUUUUCCUUUUUUUUUUUUUUUAACUUUUAGUGUUCCGAAAAAGUACAACUGCAUGCAAAGCAUUCCCAUUUAAAACAAUGCAACCAAAAAAAAACAUGAGGUAUCCAUUUUUUUAAUAGCCUUUUCGUGUUAUAUUUGUAAAUAAAUAAAUUAUGAUUCAGUCAACCCAACUCCAGAAAAAGAAAAGAAACUAUAUAAAAUUAAAUACAUACCCACAGUAUCUACAGUUAGUAAUAAAUUAUGAUUGUUAAAUACUUAAGGCAUCUCAACUGACAACACCCUGUGUAAACUAUGACAACUUUCAUCACGGAUGACUCCACUACAGGAGGAGGCAGUGUCAACACUGGCAGUGCACAAGACAGGAAGAAGUAAGCCUUGUUAAUUGAGUCUCUGGGCCAAGUGUUACCCUUGUUAUAUGCUAUCACAGUGCAGAGAGGACAGUGAGGGUCCUAAAGGCGUCCUGUAACACACGCGCGCGCGCGCGCACACACACACACACACACACACACACACACACACACACACACACACGCGCAGCUCUGUGGAACUGAAGUGACAAGCUGACACAAAGGGUAAAAAAAAAAGAGAGAAGAAGUGGUGAUAGAGAGAGAGAGUGUGUGUUUUAACAGCCUGAAUGCUUUCCUGCUGUCCUGUCGUCUCGUGUCUGUGUGCACUGUGAGAGGGAGGCUGCCUCCGUCGCACCACGUUCUACAUGUUCUAGCAAAUACAGCAUAGCAACCAGCAUAGCAACCACGAGGGGAGGUCUGUCACACAAAUAUAACACAAGAUCAAUACGCAAGCUCCUCUCCCAGCUCAAAACACUGCAUGAAUCCGUACCUAUAUAUAAACCAAACGCGAUGCCGAGGAGAAACUUUUGUUGCUAUAACUAUCGUCACAUGUGCUUGUUCUUUAGGCAAUAAGGUAAACAUCAAAAAACAGGAUCCCAAGGUCGCCACCAAAGGGAACCGGAUGACACGCGCUACAAGUCAGGGGAGCAAACCACUGACUUUUUAAAAAUUAUUAUUAUUAUUAUUAUUAUAAUUAUUAUUAAUAUUUGUUAGUGUUCAGAAGAUAGUCACAGCUCAGAUUAACUAAGUCAUGCACAGGCGUCUCUGAACCUUUUAAAAGUGAAGAAACGCUACCACAGCCAACAGCCCCAAACCCAAAAAAUGAAACAUGCAAUCUUUUUUUUGUUGUUUUUUAGUGUGCACUGUUCUGCCACUGGCCCAGUGCCAGAUGGAAAUGCAGGUACAAGGGCAGCUAAAUCCUCCCACCUCGCUCUGCAGUGCAUGAUAGCCUCUGUUGUUCAUCCCUUUUCGAUUUUUUUUGUGUGUUUUCUUUUUGUUUCUUUUGGCUUUGUGUUGUAUAAGCACUCCAGCGGCCGUGCUCUUCACCUAACAGGUUUGUGUGAGACGCAGUCUCUUGAAGUGACACACGGCAUGGGCAGAGGACAUAAAACCUGUGCGGAGAUUCAAGCUACACUGUGACAUAAUGCAUUUUGGUGAAAACACUAUUAUUUUUCUGCUUUUUUUUCAAUUUCAAACACAAAAACAUCUCGGUCACUGGGUUUUCCCUGACAGUGAACGAGACCUAAUCACAUGACACCAUCUGCACAUGACACCAACCCAAGGUAAACGCACAACUGUACUGCGAAAUGUCAAAAGCUGCAUGAGAGAAUUAAAACACCCAGCUAGCUGGUGCUUGGCCUCAAGAAGGUCACACCAGAUCUCACUAAUUGGUUACUGCUACUCUACUACGACCACAAAUGAUCUUUAGGUAAACAUGGCAUCAGAGCAUUUAGAUUCUGUUAAGCUUUCUUGCGUGGCAGAAUAAUCAUUUUGAUUGUGU